UUUCCUCUCGCUCAACUCGUGGCAUCAUUUUCGGCAUGCAGUUUUCAAUAGUGGGAAGGAUUACGCUCCUUCGAUAUUCGAGGGCUCCUUCAGAGAGCGGCAAGAGUCAACCGAGAAUCAAUGGGAGAGACCGAUUUGUGAAGGAAGGGGCAGCCAUCCUGUAGGACUCGAGAAGGUACUAAUUUUGCCCUGACUAUGGCUGUGCAGAAAAAAAUUGGUAAUUUUUUAGGAAAUUUCCCCCUCCUUUUUUUGUGUUUAGGGAAUUUCAACCCAUGGCUAGUUUAAGCUUUGCUCCUGCAUUGAAUAUUUCCGGCAUGGUCGUGCCUUUGGCUGUACCUUGCAAUGGCUUCUCACACUCAUGAGCGCUACUCAUUGGCCGGCAGGGUUGUGCUGUGAGUUCCAAUGCGUGCCGUGGUCUCUGUUAUUUCAGAUUACAGUAGUGGUAAUAUAUGCCUAGGGAGGUGGAGGGUUCGAAACCCCAUGGGCGAAGAAUGAGGAUUCGAAAUAAGCAAAGAAGAUAACAGCAGUACAAAUGAAGGGGGAUCGAACAAAAACACUAAUAAGGCCAAGUCUUGCAAUGGUUGCUUGUAUUUAUUCCUCGUAGUUGAAGAUCAAAACCGCAACCCUCUCUGCGUUGGAUUCAACAGGGCUUUACAACAAGGGUCUGAUAUAGAGGUUUCAAAUGAGGGACGGAGCUUGGAAGAUUUUAAGUAUGCUUGUGUUGGCUAUUCAGCUUAUGAAAACAAGAAAGAUACACCAGCUUAUCAACACAGACAGGGUUGUUAAGGAGUUUCUGAGCAGAUCAUGGAUUGCCCACGACGAUUGUUUUGUGGACAACAAUCUCAUACAGUGCAUAUGAUAGUGUGCAUGUUGGUAUUCCUAAAAGGCUUAAUAGCCCAAAUCCUUGGGCUCUUGGAGCUUCAUCCAACUGGAGUGUGAAAGGUAGGUGGAGAGUCCUCUUUUCUCUGAGGGAUUCACAAAUCACUAGGUUUCCAAUUUCUUUAGUAUCAGUUUUAACCAUCAAUUUGAAGGUUUUUCAGUAGUGAUUCUUCUUGCAACUUAUUUUGAAUUUGCGGAUUGAUGACUUACACCUGUUUUGCAUUGGAUACGUUCACACUGAGGAUUAGAAUUUUGCAUUGAAUAGGUUCACACUGAGGAUUAGAAUUAGACCAUGUAGGUGUCAAUUCACAAACUCAAUUUAUCAUUCAAAAUUUCUGUACAUUCUCUUUGUGUUGCUAGAGCUAGAUAGAUAUUGUAAGAUGUCUAAUAAACACAUAAUUGUUUUAUUUUCAAGGCAAUGAAAAGUUGUUCAAUACAAAAACACAAAAUGAUUGGCAAUGGUCAUAUUUUCUCAGCCAUUAUUCAGACUUAAAACUCACUACUAAACCAAAAGGUAUUUUGAGACCCAAGAUUCUAAAGGGUAAAAUUAUUCUUUAAAGGGUGCUAGCUCAAUGGAAGAGCACCUGCUUUGAGGAUGGUGGUUCAAAUCCAUUGUGCCCUAACAUGAAUUAAUCAAUGAUAUUGUAGUUUAUAUUUAACAAUAUUGAUUUAUCUGAA